AUGACCGUUGAGGCCUCUUCAUCACUGCUUCCCCCUGAGUUAGUCUCAGAAAUCCUCCAAAAUAAACCUUGGAGGACUAGUUUUUAAAAAUGUUAUAAUGUUUACAACGACAACAAAAAACCUUAAAAGCCAGGGAGACACGGGGGGAGCUGAGGUUUAUAGAACCACCACAUCUUUGCAAACAUGGUCUCAUUUGACGCUUACCACAGCUCUAUGAACCUGGUGGUGUUAUGACUCCCGUUGUACAUGACACACAGUGGCUCUGAGAAGUUACAGAACAUAGGUGGUAUCUGGUGGAGCCAGUCCGUCUGUCCGGCAACACAUUCCCUCUGUUCUCUGAGCAUCCCAUGCUGCUAACUAUGGUGCCACCUUCAUUUGCAGGGGAUCACAGGACACGCAGGCUGCUUGCUCCUACCACCCUCAUAGAGGUCUCUGUUUCCUCAUGAUCCUGCUUCAGGCCUUGCCAUAUUGUCAUCAUGUAAUCGUAAGACCGGUGGGAGGACAUGAAUAACACAUAAGAAACCAUACUGGGGAGGAGGAGCCAAGAUGGCCGAAUA
rnacentral:lncRNA from 1 species